GCCAAACCCCCUCCUGCUCACAGAGCCAGAGCAGACACAAGGGUAGAGCUGGACAGUGUUAGCUCUCACUUCCUUCUGCAGCCUUGACUGUGUUCCCAUGGCCUCCUCAGUCUAAAGGUUGCUUCUCUGCCUUCCACAGUCAAAGCCAACAAAUGAAAAUAAUCACUAGUGGGAGCUGGGCGGGAGUACCCAGGAUUCUGGUCAAUCACUCUUCAACUCAGAACAAGAGGAAGGCCUGCGGCAUGUCUACUCCUGCCCUCCUCCAGCCAAGGAUGAGCUAUGUUUCACGUGCUGGCAGGCAGCAUCAUACAAAGUUCUGUUGAGUUCUGAGAUGGGUAUGACCGGAAGGAGCCACCUCGGGAGUGAAAGAAGCCCCCUGUCUUACAGUUUGCCACCAGAUGAACUGCCAAGUAACCUCCACAGUCCAUUCAAACGUCGCCCUCUCCUUGAAGACUUCUCUGACACUCCAAGUAUCUAAAUCCCUAAGUAUGGGGAAAACGGCAACAACAUUUUGGAAGCUGAAACACGCUGGGUGGUCCAGUGGUCCUGAGAUCAGACCUGAGAAAACGGAGUCUCAAACCAGCAAAGGGAAGCUGAAAAACAACCUGAUUUACCCCACAAAAUUCUCCAAAGUCUCAGAUGGAUGGCACCAGGCGUCUGGCCAUGGGAGAAGAGGUGCAUUAAAACCAGAAGUCCGGGGCGCCUGGGUGGCGCAGUCGGUUAAGCGUCCGAUUUCAGCCAGGUCACGAUCUCGCGGUCCGUGAGUUUGAGCCCCGCGUCAGGCUCUGGGCUGAUGGCUCGGAGCCUGGAGCCUGU